UACGUAGGGGGCAAGCGUUGUCCGGAAUCAUUGGGCGUAAAGAGCGUGUAGGCGGCCAGAUAAGUCCGCUGUGAAAUCUCGAGGCUCAACUUCGAGCUGUCGGUGGAAACUGCCGGGCUGGAGUCCGGAAGAGGCGAGUGGAAUUCCUGGUGUAGCGGUGAAAUGCGCAGAUAUCAGGAGGAACACCAAUGGCGAAGGCAGCUCGCUGGGACGGUACUGACGCUGAGACGCGAAAGCGUGGGGAGCAAACAGG
rnacentral:rRNA from 1 species